rnacentral:misc_RNA from 1 species
AUUUCUCCAACUUGGACUUUUGUCCAACGCGGGUCCAUGGGUUUGCAACUUGCGUUGCUCACCUUAAAUACAGUACGCUGGACAACCAGUGAGUUGCUAGUUUCAUUGCUAACUUGCGUAAAUGUUGUCUGCUGCUAAUCACACAACGUGUGCCUCGUGCACACCCUCAU